CGGGUGAGUAACACGUGGGAACGUGCCUUUAGGUUCGGAAUAGCUCCUGGAAACGGGUGGUAAUGCCGAAUGUGCCCUUCGGGGGAAAGAUUUAUCGCCUUUAGAGCGGCCCGCGUCUGAUUAGCUAGUUGGUGAGGUAAUGGCUCACCAAGGCGACGAUCAGUAGCUGGUCUGAGAGGAUGACCAGCCACAUUGGGACUGAGACACGGCCCAAACUCCUACGGGAGGCAGCAGUGGGGAAUCUUGCGCAAUGGGCGAAAGCCUGACGCAGCCAUGCCGCGUGAAUGAUGAAGGUCUUAGGAUUGUAAAAUUCUUUCACCGGGGACGAUAAUGACGGUACCCGGAGAAGAAGCCCCGGCUAACUUCGUGCCAGCAGCCGCGGUAAUACGAAGGGGGCUAGCGUUGCUCGGAAUUACUGGGCGUAAAGGGCGCGUAGGCGGACAUUUAAGUCAGGGGUGAAAUCCCAGAGCUCAACUCUGGAACUGCCUUUGAUACUGGGUGUCUUGAGUGUGAGAGAGGUAUGUGGAACUCCGAGUGUAGAGGUGAAAUUCGUAGAUAUUCGGAAGAACACCAGUGGCGAAGGCGACAUACUGGCUCAUUACU
rnacentral:rRNA from 1 species